GUUUGCACUUGUCGGGGAAGGGUGAGAACCUUCGAUUAAGGUUCGACUCGAGCGAAAGCGAGAGAACGUUGCCAACGGCAACGGCCCGUAGGGUGAGGAGCGAAGCGACGAAUAAUCAUUCCCCCACCACCA
rnacentral:sRNA from 2 species